ACGGGAACUAAUCUAAAACAUGAAUUUAAAGAACUAUAAACUAAACUAACUAGAACAGAAAUCGAAACUAGAACUAUGAAAGCAAUAAACCUAAACUUUGGCUGCCUAGCGGAAACUAAAGAUUAGGGCAAGGGGAAUGUAUAUUUUACAAUGAAAAGUAUGGCCCUAUUUAUAGACUUCAAAUCCCUAUGGAUCACCAUGGAAGUUGCCAUGCAAAGCCGGACUCUAAAAGGAAUAGAAUCGUGCAAAGGAAGGUAAGUCCAGCUGUGACGCGCGCUACAAGUCAUCUCCAUUCUGGCCGAAUUCGGGGCUCUCGCCAGCGGAAUGGCUUCCGCUCUGGCUUUGAUUCCUCUGGCGCUUCGACUCCUCUGGUGAUUCGAAUCCUCUGGCGCUUC
rnacentral:lncRNA from 1 species